rnacentral:rRNA from 1 species
UACGUAGGGAGCAAGCGUUGUCCGGAAUCAUUGGGCGUAAAGCGCGCGUAGGUGGCCUCGUAAGUCCGCUGUGAAAGUCAAAGGCUCAACCUUUGAAAGCCGGUGGAUACUGUGAGGCUAGAGUACGGAAGAGGCGAGUGGAAUUCCUGGUGUAGCGGUGGAAUGCGCAGAUAUCAGGAGGAACACCAAUAGCGAAGGCAGCUCGCUGGGACGUAACUGACACUGAGGCGCGAAAGCGUGGGGAGCGAACAGU